GACGAACGCUGGCGGCGUGCCUAAUACAUGCAAGUCGAGCGAUGAUUAAAGAUAGCUUGCUAUUUUUAUGAAGAGUGGCGAACGGGUGAGUAACGCGUGGGAAAUCUGCCGAGUAGCGGGGGACAACGUUUGGAAACGAACGCUAAUACCGCAUAACAAUGAGAAUCGCAUGAUUCUUAUUUGAAAGAAGCAAUUGCUUCACUACUUGAUGAUCCCGCGUUGUAUUAGCUAGUUGGUAGUGUAAAGGACUACCAAGGCGAUGAUACAUAGCCGACCUGAGAGGGUGAUCGGCCACACUGGGACUGAGACACGGCCCAUACUCCUACGGGAGGCAGCAGUAGGGAAUCUUCGGCAAUGGGGGCAACCCUGACCGAGCAACGCCGCGUGAGUGAAGAAGGUUUUCGGAUCGUAAAACUCUGUUGUUAGAGAAGAACGUUAAGUAGAGUGGAAAAUUACUUAAGUGACGGUAUCUAACCAGAAAGGGACGGCUAACUACGUGCCAGCAGCCGCCGUAA
rnacentral:rRNA from 1 species